CUCUAGGGUAUUUGGGGGUACAUACUGUACUGUAGUAUCCAAAUGGCUAGCUGCAUCAUUUUGACCAUGGCUGUUUUCCUUCCCCUACAGAUAACAUGACAAGUGGAUCAAACGUGCCUUGUGCUGCUGCUCUGUGGACUGAGGAGGGGAGAGGGGCUGGAGCCACUCUGAUCUUUUCUUCACUAGAUCGUCAUCUUGCGCUGGGUGGUCGCUGGAAAAAGGAAGCUCCAAUAAACACCGGCCUUGUGCUGAUUGGUCAAGUUGGGCAGACCAUUGUGAAACAUCUGCGGCCAAUUACAGCAUGGCGUGCAAGCCAUCAACGCAGCCUCUGGCCAGGACGAGCCAAAUGGAAAGAGAUCACUGGUGUCCAGAGAGGAAAGCAACGGCGGACAAGAAAGAGUGUUGAGAGGAAGCCUUUGAAUGGAUCCAACUGUCCAAUUGCAUCCGUCUGCCAGAUAAACGCAGCCUUUGUGUGCAUGUUAGCUGCUGGCAGCCAGUGAGCAGGUAAGAGAUGAAAGAGGGCCCGUGCAGGUUGGCCAUGUGCAGGAUGUGAACACUGAGCGCACAUUCACACUUUACAGGACUCUCACAAGCACACACGCACACUUUACAGGACUCUCAGCAAGCACACACGCACACUACAGGACUCACAAGCACACACACACACUUUACAGGACUCUCAGCACACACACUUUACAGGACUCUCACAAGCACACACAUACACUUUACAGGACUCUCAGCAAGCACACACGCACACUUCACAGGACUCUCACAAGCACACACACACACUUUACAGGACUCUCAGCAAGCACACACGCACACUUUACAGGACUCUCAGCAAGCACACACGCACACUACAGGACUCACAAGCACACACACACACACACUUUACAGGACUCUCACAAGCACACACACACACUUUACAGGACUCUCACAAGCACACACACACACUUUACAGGACUCUCAGCAAGCACACACGCACACUACAGGACUCACAAGCACACACACACACUUUACAGGACUCUCAGCACGCACACUUCACAGGACUCUCACAAGCACACACGCACACUUUACAGGACUCUCACAAGCACACACACACACUUUACAGGACUCUCACAAGCACACACGUACACUUCACAGGACUCUCACAAGCACACACGCACACUUUACAGGACUCUCACAAGCACACACACACACUUUACCGGACUCUCAGCAAGCUCAGGCUGCUGAAUCUGUGAUUGUACAUGAGUAAGUUGGUGAGGCCACACAUAUGUUGUGGACUGUAGGAAAUGAACCCUGUCGAUAUGCAGGGGUCUAUUGAACUUCAAGUGCUUCUUUCCUCCUGUCCCCUGUCUGCAUUUCAUCAUGUUUUUGCACAAUGUAUGCUUACAGAUUUUCAGAAGGAGUUUGGGUCAUGGAAUGUAUCUGGGUGUUGAUAAUCUCUCAUUAUAAACCAGUAAGUGAUUAUUUAUCUUUCCAGAGGUGGCCAGAUGUUAAGCACAAACCUGUUGUUGCUCCUUAGCUUGCUGCUGGUAGUCACAUCAGAAGCUAAUGAGGCUAAUCAUGCAGUGAAGCCUUCAGCCCCCGCUUACUAAAGCACCUCAGAGUUCUACACUAUGGGUUCCCUCUCUGUCCGACACACAAACACCCACGUGUACACACACACACUUCACUUGAGUAUAGUUCACAGAUGUUUCCCAUGUGAAAUAAAAUCUCACUGCCUUGUG